UUGUUUCAAUCUUUUUGGCAACAAGGGUGGAGUUUUGGAAUCAAAUAUAUGUUUCACAUUUCGCCCAAAAAAUUAUGUCUUUAACUUCAAUUGAGUUUCUUUUGCAAGAAUUAGGAUUUUUCUGGAGUAAAAAUAUCAUCUUUUCCAAUUUUGUUGGGAAGAAAAUUGAAUGCUUUCUCUUUUUUUGGUAAUUUAGAUUGCGAGUGCAGUGAAUGAAAGGAAGCUUGUUCCGGACGAAGUGAUAUUUGCGCUGUUGUCGAAGAGGUCGGAAGAAGGAUACUUUCGGGGCGAAAACCGACUCAUCCUCGUUGGCAUUCCUCGAACAAGAACUCAAGCUGAAAUUGUUGACCAAAUUGCUGAUAUGGAUUUAGUGGUGAAUCUUGAAUGUACAAACAGAAGGAAAUCAU